rnacentral:rRNA from 1 species
CUACGGGGUGCUCCAGUGGGGAAUAUUGCACAAUGGAGGAAACUCUGAUGCAGCAACGCCGCGUGGAGGAUGACACUUUUCGGAGCGUAAACUCCUUUUAUAUAGGAAGAAGAUGACGGUACUAUAUGAAUAAGCGCCGGCUAACUCCGUGCCAGCAGCCGCGGUAAUACGGAGGGCGCGAGCGUUACUCGGAAUCACUGGGCGUAAAGAGCGUGUAGGCGGAUUAAAAAGUCAGAAGUGAAAUCCUAUAGCUUAACUAUAGAACUGCUUCUGAAACUCUUAAUCUAGAAUAUGGGAGAGGUAGAUGGAAUUUCUGGUGUAGGGGUAAAAUCCGUAGAGAUCAGAAGGAAUACCGAUUGCGAAGGCAAUCUACUAGAACAUUAUUGACGCUGAGACGCGAAAGUGUGGGGAGCAAACAGGAUUAGAUACCCGAGUAGUC